rnacentral:lncRNA from 1 species
ACAAUUUCUUCCUUUAAAUUAAGGAGUUCUUUUUUUAAAUCAGAAACAGUAAUUUCUUUGUCUGGAAAAUUCUUUUGAGUUAAAAUCCUUUUUAAUUCAGCAGUCGAAUAGUAUUCAGGCUGUUUCAAACUAAAAUUUGAAGAGGGAAGAAUGUCAUUAGGCACAUAAUUAGUCAAAACAGUAUCCAAAAUUUUAUUUCUCAAAUCUUUAUCUUCUAUUGUUUUUAAAAUCUUUAUU